rnacentral:rRNA from 1 species
CACGUAUGUAAUCUACCUUUUGCUGGGGUAUAGCCAGGAGAAAUUCUGAUUAAUCCCCCAUAAUAUAAAAGUUCUGCAUGGAGCCUUUAUUAAAACUCAGGUGGCAAAAGAUGAGCAUGCGUUUGAUUAGUUAGUUGGUGAGGUAAUGGCUCUACCAAGACUAUGAUCAGUAGGGGGCCUAAGAGGGUGUACCCCCACACUGGUACUGAGACACGGACCAGACUUCUACGGAAGGCAGCAGUGAGGAAUAUUGGUCAAUGGAGGAAACUCUGAACCAGCUACGCCGUGUGCAGGAUGACGGUCUUUUAGGUUGUAAACUGCUUUUGUAUAGAAAUAAAACUCCUACGAGAUAGGAGCUUGAAGGUACUAUGCGAAUAAGUGUCGGCUAAUUCCGUGCCAGCAGCCGCGGCAAUACGGGAGACACAAGCGUUAUUCGGAUUUAUUGGGUUUAAAGGGUGUGUAGGCUGUUUAUUAAGUCAGUAGUGAAAGCUUACAGCUUAACUGUAAAAUUGCUAUUGAUACUGGUAAACUUGAGUAAGAUUGGAGCAUUUGGAAUGUAUGGUGUAGCGGUGAAAUGCAUAGAUAUCAUACAGAACACCGAUAGCGAAGGCAGGUUGCUAAAUCUUUACUGACGCUGAGAACACGAAAGCGUGGGUAGCAAACAGGAUUAGAUACCCUGGUAGUCCACGCCCUAAACGAUGAUCACUAGCUAUUGGAAAAACGAUAUUCAGUGGCUUAGCGAAAGCGAUAAGUGAUCCACCUGGGAAGUACAGUCGCAAGAUUGAAACUCAAAGGAAUUGACGGGGGUUCGCACAAGCGGUGGAGCAUGUGGUUUAAUUCGAUGAUACGCGAGGAACCUUACCAAGGCUUAAAUGUAUUACGAAUAAGCUGGGAAACAGUUUAGUCUGUACGACGUAUUACAAGGUGCUGCAUGGUUGUCUUCAGUUCGUGCUGUGAAGUGUUUGGUUAAGUCCUAUAACGAGCGCAACCCCUAUUGUUA